UACGGAGGGUGCUAGCGUUGUUCGGAAUUACUGGGCGUAAAGGGCGCGUAGGCGGUGUGUCAAGUCAGGCGUGAAAGCCCCGGGCUCAACCCUGGGAUGCCGGUCGAUACUGCCGGACUAGAGUUCGGAAGAGGCGAGUGGAAUUCCCGGUGUAGCGGUGAAAUGCGCAGAUAUCGGGAGGAACACCUAUGGCGAAGGCAGCUCGCUGGGACGUUACUGACGCUGAGACGCGAAAGCGUGGGGAGCAAACAGG
rnacentral:rRNA from 1 species